rnacentral:rRNA from 1 species
ACAGAGGCCUCAAGCGUUGUUCGGAAUUACUGGGCGUAAAGCGAAUGUAGGUGGUGAUGCAAGUCAGAUGUGAAAGCCCUGGGCUUAACCCGGGAAUUGCAUUUGAUACUGCGUUGCUCGAGUGCAGGAGAGGUUAGAGGAAUUCCUGGUGUAGGGGUGAAAUCCGUAGAUAUCAGGAGGAAUACCGAUGGCGUAGGCAUCUAACUGGCCUGUAACUGACACUGAGAUUCGAAAGCAUGGGUAGCAAACA